CUCAAACCUAUUUACAGUUAUCAGGAAAAGAGGUUGAUAUGAACCCAGAAGUCAAUGUUCAGGAAGUGGCUGAAGAUGAUAAAGAUGAUGGUGUAACAAUUAUUGGAGGAAGAAAGAGAAUAUACAGAUAUCAGAAAGAAGUAUAUCUAACUUGUAAAUGAAGCUGUUUUGAAAUCAGAAAGGCUUUCCUGGGAAGUUGGUUUGAAUGACAAGACUGUACUAAAAACAAAAUGAUUCUCUAGGUUUAUCCUAUUCAGCUGCAUACUUACAUGGAGAUGUGACUACAGUAUUCCAUCUUAAGGAUCCGGAGCUAUCUGCAGCCUAUCUGAAGGUCCU